CCAAUAGCGUAUAUUAAAGUUGUUGCAGUUAAAAAGCUCGUAGUUGAAUUUCGGGAUCAACACGUCGGUCGUGCCUCCGGUAUGUACUGGCGUCGUUGAUUUCUCCCUUCUGGUGAACCACGAUGUCAUUAAUUUGGUGUUGCGGGGAGCCAGGACUGUUACUUUGAAAAAAUUAGAGUGUUUAAAGCAGGCAAACGCUUGAAUACAUUAGCAUGGAAUAAUGAAAUAGGACGUUGUACCUAUUUUGUUGGUUUCUAGGAUCAACGUAAUGAUUAAUAGGGAUAGUUGGGGGCAUUAGUAUUCAAUUGUCAGAGGUGAAAUUCUUGGAUUUAUUGAAGACUAACUCCUGCGAAAGCAUUUGCCAAGGAUGUUUUCAUUAAUCAAGAACGAAAGUUAGGGGAUCGAAGACGAUCAGAUACCGUCGUAGUCUUAACCAUAAACUAUGCCGACUAGGGAUCGGAUGAAGUUAAUUUUUUAAUGACUCAUUCGGCGCCUUACG
rnacentral:rRNA from 1 species